rnacentral:tRNA from 1 species
GUGGUGGCUCAGUGGUAGAGCACUUGCCUGGCAUGUGUGAGGCACUGGGUUCAAUCCUCAGCACCACA